UCCUCGCUCAAAGAAUCGCAUUCAAAGCUUACACACAAGAUAUCUUUCGAUAUCUUUUUCCUUUACGGAAAACCAGCUUUGGGAGAAAGUCCCCGGACACCCUGACCAUUUCUUCGGAAUGGACCAGGCAAUGCGGAAACGCGCCGCCAUAGAAGCAAUUCGAUAGCGGCUUAUACGCCCUAUUCCCUCCCAGUGCCUCAGUCUAUGCUCGACGCCGUCAGGUGGUAACAAUGGUGGUAUAGCUGGGUGUUGGAGAGGGGUUUAUUGGGUUGCCAUUCGUCGUGGUUGGAUAGUUAUGCGAUUGCUCUUCUCAUUUCUGAGGGAGUAACUCAAUGGGGCUCAUUCUUGAGGCGAGG
rnacentral:RNase_MRP_RNA from 1 species